UACCUCAAAAAACCACAACAGUCUGUUUUAUCAGUCUGAUGAUUCCUAUACGGAUGAAACAGACUGUUGUGGUUUUU
rnacentral:miRNA from 1 species